UACGUAGGGUGCAAGCGUUAAUCGGAAUUACUGGGCGUAAAGCGUGCGCAGGCGGCUUUGCAAGACAGAUGUGAAAUCCCCGGGCUUAACCUGGGAACUGCAUUUGUGACUGCAUGGCUGGAGUGCGGCAGAGGGGGAUGGAAUUCCGCGUGUAGCAGUGAAAUGCGUAGAUAUGCGGAGGAACACCGAUGGCGAAGGCAAUCCCCUGGGCCUGCACUGACGCUCAUGCACGAAAGCGUGGGGA
rnacentral:rRNA from 1 species